rnacentral:rRNA from 1 species
UUUUAAACAAAUUCUGCUCAAUGGUCAACAAUUAAAUAGCUGCAGUAUUAACUGUACUAAGGUAGCAUAAUAAUUUGUUUUUUAAUUAAAAACUAGAAUGAAAGGUAUCAUGAAAAAUUAACUAUUUAUUAAACUAAAAGUAAAACUUAAUAUUUAAGUUAAAAAUCUUAACUAUCCUAAAAAGACAAGAAGACCCUGUAGAAUUUUAUAGUUUUAAUAAAAACUUUAAUUAUAGACUAUUAAGUUGGGGAGACUAUAAAUAAAUAAAAACAUUUAUUUUUAAAAACCACAAAUAAGUGAAACUUUAAAUAUCCAAAAUUUUUGAAAAUAAACCAAAUUACCUAAGGGAUAACAGCGUAAAAUUUUUAGAAAGAUCAUAUUUACAAAAUUUAUUACGACCUCGAUGUUGGAUUAAGCA